rnacentral:lncRNA from 1 species
GCAUCUUGCACUGAUGUGCUUGUCCACAAUAAUCUUCUGUCCCCAUGAUCUCUGAUGGGCACAGGCCUGCUGACCCAGCCAAAGCCAGUGACUCCUCAAGAAAGUUGAUCUGCAAGUAGAAUCUUGUAAUGAAUGGCCACCAUGGCACUCAUGCACACUGGAAUCAGCCUUGUCACUCUGUCAGAAAAUUAAAAUUCCAAGCUCUCCGUAUUGCCUGGUGGUUUCUUGUACAGUGGCCUUAUCAGAGACACCAGAGAAGCCUGAUGUCAUUCCUCUUUCUUUUUGUUUUGAAAUCUCCAAAGGAAGAAUGUUUCUUCACUUCUCAUUCAGGCUGGAAGAAACUUAAACAGAGCAAACACAGUCCUUCUCCUUGUGCAUCAUAUCCUCUGGGAUAAUUUUACUGCCUAGUCUGACAAGCAGAGGAACAGAUCUGCCUGUACAUCCCUCCACACACAGAUGAUGUUGAAGGAAUUGGAAGAACAGAUGAGUGGCAUUUGUGGUCAUCCUCGUGUGCUGCUCUCUAAAGCUCAGAGCAGGAGGAGGAAGAUGGGGAAAGCUUCAUUGACUGAAGUAUAAAUAAAGGUAUUUUGGGGACAAGAAACUACUUCUCU